CACACGCAGAGAGUCAGACAUGCUCAGUUACAUGAGACAGUCACACACACACACACACAGUUACAGGCAGACAGUCACACAUGCUCAGUUACAGGCAGACUUUCACAGAGCCAAACACACAGUUAAAAGCAGACAGUCACAAACAGUUACAGGCACACAGUCACACACACAGUCACAAGCAGACAAUCACACAUACUCCAUUACAAGCAGACAGUCCUACAAACUCCAUUACAGGCAUGCAGACAUUCAUGCAUGAUGAUAGGCACACACACUCAGUUAGAGGCAGAUAGUCACACA